CCUACGGGUGGCAGCAGUGGGGAAUAUUGCACAAUGGGGGGAACCCUGAUGCAGCGACGCCGCGUGAGUGAAGAAGUAUUUCGGUAUGUUAAGCUCUGUCAGCAGGGAAGAAGAAAGACGGUACCUGACCAAGAAGCCCCGGCUAACUACUUGCCAGCAGCCGCGGUAAUACGUAGGGGGCAAGCGUUAUCCGGAUUUACUGGGUGUAAAGGGAGCGUAGACGGCAGAGCAAGUCUGGAGUGAAAUGCCGGGGCCCAACCCCGGAACUGCUCUGGAAACUGUGAAGCUGGAGUUCAGGAGAGGUAAGCGGAAUGCGUGGUGUAGCGGUGAAAUGCGUAGAUAUCAGGAAGAACACCGGCGGCGAAGGCGGCUUACUGGACUGUAACUGACGUUGAGGCUCGAAGGCGUGGGUAGCAAACAGGAUUAGAUACCCCAGUAGUC
rnacentral:rRNA from 1 species